UACGGGGGGAGCAAGCGUUGUUCGGAUUUACUGGGCGUAAAGGGCGCGUAGGCGGUCACUACAAGUCAGUUGUGAAAUCUCUGGGCUUAACUCAGAACGGUCAACUGAUACUGUCGGACUAGAGUGCAGAAGGGGCAACUGGAAUUCUCGGUGUAGCGGUGAAAUGCGUAGAUAUCGAGAGGAAGACCAGUGGCGAAGGCGGGUCUCUGGACAGUUCCUGACGCUGAGGCACGAAGGCCAGGGGAGCAAACGGG
rnacentral:rRNA from 1 species